rnacentral:rRNA from 1 species
AAAUUGAAGAGUUUGAUCAUGGCUCAGAUUGAACGCUGGCGGCAGGCCUAACACAUGCAAGUCGAACGGUAACAGGAAGCAGCUUGCUGCUUCGCUGACGAGUGGCGGACGGGUGAGUAAUGUCUGGGAAACUGCCUGAUGGAGGGGGAUAACUACUGGAAACGGUAGCUAAUACCGCAUAAUGUCGCAAGACCAAAGAGGGUGACCUUCGGGCCUCUUGCCAUCGGAUGUGCCCAGAUGGGAUUAGCUUGUUGGUGGGGUAACGGCUCACCAAGGCGACGAUCCCUAGCUGGUCUGAGAGGAUGACCAGCCACACUGGAACUGAGACACGGUCCAGACUCCUACGGGCGGCAGCCGUGGGGAAUAUUGCACAAUGGGCGCAAGCCUGAUGCAGCCAUGCCGCGUGUAUGAAGAAGGCCUUCGGG